UACGUAGGUGGCAAGCGUUUGUCCGGAUUUACUGGGCGUAAAGAGCGCGCAGGCGGUCGUUCAAGUCGCGUGUGAAAGCCCCCGGCUCAACUGGGGAGGGUCACGCGAUACUGAUCGACUCGAAAGGCAGGAGAGGGAAGUGGAAUUCCCCGGUGUAGUGGUGAAAUGCGUAGAUAUCGGGAGGAACACCGGUGGCGAAGGCGGCCUUCUGGACAGUGACUGACGCUGAGACGCGAAAGCGUGGGGAGCAAACAGGG
rnacentral:rRNA from 1 species